AUUUGUCAAUGAUGAUUUGUAUUUUAACCUACAUUGUUUGAUUUCUCUGAGAAAAGCUUCAUAUUCUGAGACAAAU